GUAUCCUGUCUGAAUAUGGGGGGACCAUCCUCCAAGGCUAAAUACUCCUGACUGACCGAUAGUGAACCAGUACCGUGAGGGAAAGGCGAAAAGAACCCCGGCGAGGGGAGUGAAAAAGAACCUGAAACCGUGUACGUACAAGCAGUGGGAGCACGCUUAGGCGUGUGACUGCGUACCUUUUGUAUAAUGGGUCAGCGACUUAUAUUCUGUAGCAAGGUUAACCGAAUAGGGGAGCCGAAGGGAAACCGAGUCUUAACUGGGCGUUAAGUUGCAGGGUAUAGACCCGAAACCCGGUGAUCUAGCCAUGGGCAGGUUGAAGGUUGGGUAACACUAACUGGAGGACCGAACCGACUAAUGUUGAAAAAUUAGCGGAUGACUUGUGGCUGGGGGUGAAAGGCCAAUCAAACCGGGAGAUAGCUGGUUCUCCCCGAAAGCUAUUUAGGUAGCGCCUCGUGAAUUCAUCUCCGGGGGUAGAGCACUGUUUCGGCAAGGGGGUCAUCCCGACUUACCAACCCGAUGCAAACUGCGAAUACCGGAGAAUGUUAUCACGGGAGACACACGGCGGGUGCUAACGUCCGUCGUGAAGAGGGAAACAACCCAGACCGCCAGCUAAGGUCCCAAAGUCAUGGUUAAGUGGGAAACGAUGUGGGAAGGCCCAGACAGCCAGGAUGUUGGCUUAGAAGCAGCCAUCAUUUAAAGAAAGCGUAAUAGCUCACUGGUCGAGUCGGCCUGCGCGGAAGAUGUAACGGGGCUAAACCAUGCACCGAAGCUGCGGCAGCGACGCUGAUGCGUUGUUGGGUAGGGGAGCGUUCUGUAAGCCUGUGAAGGUGUGCUGUGAGGCAUGCUGGAGGUAUCAGAAGUGCGAAUGCUGACAUAAGUAACGAUAAAGCGGGUGAAAAGCCCGCUCGCCGGAAGACCAAGGGUUCCUGUCCAACGUUAAUCGGGGCAGGGUGAGUCGACCCCUAAGGCGAGGCCGAAAGGCGUAGUCGAUGGGAAACAGGUUAAUAUUCCUGUACUUGGUGUUACUGCGAAGGGGGGACGGAGAAGGCUAUGUUGGCCGGGCGACGGUUGUCCCGGUUUAAGCGUGUAGGCUGGUUUUCCAGGCAAAUCCGGAAAAUCAAGGCUGAGGCGUGAUGACGAGGCACUACGGUGCUGAAGCAACAAAUGCCCUGCUUCCAGGAAAAGCCUCUAAGCAUCAGGUAACAUCAAAUCGUACCCCAAACCGACACAGGUGGUCAGGUAGAGAAUACCAAGGCGCUUGAGAGAACUCGGGUGAAGGAACUAGGCAAAAUGGUGCCGUAACUUCGGGAGAAGG
rnacentral:rRNA from 1 species